GACGAAUUUGAUUGUAUUUAUGGCGCCAGGCCCAACAAUGUUGAUGACUUAAUGAUAAGCUACAAACUCAGUUUCUUUGUUACGCUCUCUUAUCAGUCCGGGCCGGGCAAGUGGUGUUCUUAUUAGAAGUCGUUUCAUAACGUGCCUUAUCAGAACGAAUACCUAUGCAGAUACAGUUUUAAUUUGUUUAUAAACAAGUUUUGUAUGCUAAUAUGAACUGUGCGGGGGGGACGGACUCAUGG
rnacentral:lncRNA from 1 species